rnacentral:rRNA from 1 species
GACGAACGCUGGCGGCGUGCUUAACACAUGCAAGUCGAACGGAAAGGCCCUGCUUUUGUGGGGUGCUCGAGUGGCGAACGGGUGAGUAACACGUGAGUAACCUGCCCUUGACUUUGGGAUAACUUCAGGAAACUGGGGCUAAUACCGGAUAGGAGCUCCUGCUGCAUGGUGGGGGUUGGACAGCUUCGGCGGUUGGGGAUGGACUCGCGGCUUAUCAGCUUGUUGGUGGGGUAGUGGCUUACCAAGGCUUCGACGGGUAGCCGGCCUGAGAGGGUGACCGGCCACAUUGGGACUGAGAUACGGCCCAGACUCCUACGGGAGGCAGCAGUGGGGAAUAUUGCACAAUGGGCGGAAGCCUGAUGCAGCAACGCCGCGUGCGGGAUGACGGCCUUCGGGUUGUAAACCGCUUUCGCCUGUGACGAAGCGUGAGUGACGGUAAUGGGUAAAGAAGCACCGGCUAACUACGUG